rnacentral:rRNA from 1 species
UACGGAAGGUCCAGGCGUUAUCCGGAUUUAUUGGGUUUAAAGGGAGCGUAGGCCGUCUGUUGAGCGCGUUGUGAAAUGGAGAUGCUCAACAUCUGAAUUGCAGCGCGAACUGGCAGACUUGAGUGUGCGCAACGGAGGCGGAAUUCGUGGUGUAGCGGUGAAAUGCUUAGAUAUCACGAAGAACUCCUAUUGCGCAGGCAGCUUACGUGAGCCCAACUGACGCUGAAGCUCGAAAGUGCGGGUAUCGAACAGG